rnacentral:rRNA from 1 species
ACUCUAAGCGGUGGAUCACUCGGCUCAUGGGUCGAUGAAGAACGCAGCAAACUGUGCGUCAUCGUGUGAACUGCAGGACACAUGAACAUCGACAUUUUGAACGCAUAUCGCAGUCCAUGCUGUUAUGUACUUUAAUUAAUUUUAAAGUGCUGCUUGGACUACAUAUGGUUGAGGGUUGUAAGACUAUGCAAAAUAAGUUGUUCAUAAAUUUCAUUUCAUGAUUUUUAUAAGCACAUGGUAUAUUAUUGGGUAUAAUAAUUAUUAAUUGUUAUAUUCAUAAUAUUAAAAAUUAUAUGAAAAACAUUAUUCUCACAUUGUUGUAAAUAUUUGAAUGUGAAAACGAAGAGAAAUAUUUUCUUUUUUUUAAAUCAAAUAAUACUGAGAAAUGUCUAGCAUAAAAAAUGUGAAAAUAUUUUUCAUCUAGAAUUGUCUCUUAUUAAUGAUGCAAAAAAUCGAAAAAUGUUGCUAAUGUUAUUAUUCUUCGUUUGGUUUGUUAAAAAUAUAACAAAUUUAAAUAUAUAAUGUUUUCUCUAUAUAAAAGAAUUAAUGCUAAUAAAUGUUUUAUACAACCUCAACUCAUAUGGGACUACCCCCUGAAUUUAAGCAUAUUAAUUAGGGGAGGAAAAGAAACUAACAAGGAUUUUCUUAGUAGCGGCGAGCGAAAAGAAAUCAGUUCAGCACUAAGUCACUUUGUCUAUAUGGCAAAUGUGAGAUGCAGUGUAUGGAGCGUCAAUAUUCUAGUAUGAGAAAUUAACGAUUUAAGUCCUUCUUAAAUGAGGCCAUUUACCCAUAGAGGGUGCCAGGCCCGUAUAACGUUAAUGAUUACUAGAUGAUGUUUCCAAAGAGUCGUGUUGCUUGAUAGUGCAGCACUAAGUGGGUGGUAAACUCCAUCUAAAACUAAAUAUAACCAUGAGACCGAUAGUAAACAAGUACCGUGAGGGAAAGUUGAAAAGAACUCUGAAUAGAGAGUUAAACAGUACGUGAAACUGCUUAGAGGUUAAGCCCGAUGAACCUGAAUAUCCGUUAUGGAAAAUUCAUCAUUAGACUUGUAGUAUUUAAACAAUAUUAUGAUAAUAGUGUGCAUUUUUUCCAUAUAAGGACAUUGUAAUCUAUUAACAUAACUAAAUUUAUCAUAAAAUAUGGCUUAUAGUUUAUUCAAAUUAUUAUGCUUGCAUUUUAACAUAGAAUAAAUGUCAUUAAUUUGAUAAAGUGCUGAUAGAUUUAUAUGACUACAGUGCGUUAAUUUUUCGGAAUUAUAUAAUGGCAUAAUUAUCAUUGAUUUUUGUGUUUAUUAUAUGCACUUGUACGAUUAACAAUGCGAAAGAUUCAGGAUACCUUCGGGACCCGUCUUGAAACACGGACCAAGGAGUCUAACAUAUGUGCAAGUUAUUGGGAUAUAAACCUAAUAGCGUAAUUAACUUGACUAAUAAUGGGAUUAGUUUUUUAACUAUUUAUAGCUAAUUAACACAAUCCCGGGGCGUUCUAUAUAGUUAUGUAUAAUAAUAUUUAUAUUAUUUAUGCCUCUAACUGGAACGUACCUUGAGCAGAUAUGCUGUGACCCGAAAGAUGGUGAACUAUACUUGAUCAGGUUGAAGUCAGGGGAAACCCUGAUGGAAGACCGAAACAGUUCUGACGUGCAAAUCGAUUGUCAGAAUUGAGUAUAGGGGCGAAAGACCAAUCGAACCAUCUAGUAGCUGGUUCCUUCCGAAGUUUCCCUCAGGAUAGCUGGUGCAUUUUAAUGUUAUAUAAAAUAAUCUUAUCUGGUAAAGCGAAUGAUUAGAGGCCUUAGGGUCGAAACGAUCUUAACCUAUUCUCAAACUUUAAAUGGGUAAGAACCUUAACUUUCUUGAUAUGAAGUUUAAGGUUAUGAUAUAAUGUGCCCAGUGGGCCACUUUUGGUAAGCAGAACUGGCGCUGUGGGAUGAACCAAACGUAAUGUUACGGUGCCCAAAUUAACAACUCAUGCAGAUACCAUGAAAGGCGUUGGUUGCUUAAAACAGCAGGACGGUGAUCAUGGAAGUCGAAAUCCGCUAAGGAGUGUGUAACAACUCACCUGCCGAAGCAACUAGCCCUUAAAAUGGAUGGCGCUUAAGUUGUAUACCUAUACAUUACCGCUAAAGUAGAUGAUUUAUAUUACUUGUAAUAUAAAUUUUGAAACUUUAGUGAGUAGGAAGGUACAAUGGUAUGCGUAGAAGUGUUUGGCGUAAGCCUGCAUGGAGCUGCCAUUGGUACAGAUCUUGGUGGUAGUAGCAAAUAAUCGAAUGAGACCUUGGAGGACUGAAGUGGAGAAGGGUUUCGUGUGAACAGUGGUUGAUCACGAGUUAGUCGGUCCUAAGUUCAAGGCGAAAGCCGAAAAUUUUCAAGUAAUAAAAUGACUAUAUAUUACAAAAAUGCCAAUUAAUAUACUUGAAUAAUUUUGAACGAAAGGGAAUACGGUUCCAAUUCCGUAACCUGUUGAGUAUCCGUUUGUUAUUAAAUAUGGGCCUCGUGCUCAUCCUGGCAACAGGAACGACCAUAAAGAAGCCGUCGAGAGAUAUCGGAAGAGUUUUCUUUUCUGUUUUAUAGCCGUACUACCAUGGAAGUCUUUCGCAGAGAGAUAUGGUAGAUGGGCUAGAAGAGCAUGACAUAUACUGUUGUGUCGAUAUUUUCUCCUCGGACCUUGAAAAUUUAUGGUGGGGAUACGCAAACUUCUCAACAGGCCGUACCAAUAUCCGCAGCUGGUCUCCAAGGUGAAGAGUCUCUAGUCGAUAGAAUAAUGUAGGUAAGGGAAGUCGGCAAAUUAGAUCCGUAACUUCGGGAUAAGGAUUGGCUCUGAAGAUUGAGAUAGUCGGGCUUGAUUGGGAAACAAUAACAUGGUUUAUGUGCUCGUUCUGGGUAAAUAGAGUUUCUAUCAUUUAUGUUAGUUGCUUGUUCCCCGGAUAGUUUAGUUACGUAGCCAAUUGUGGAACUUUCUUGCUAAAAUUUUUAAGAAUACUAGUUGGGUCAAACCAAUUAGUUCUUAUUAAUUAUAACGAUUAUCAAUUAACAAUCAAUUCAGAACUGGCACGGACUUGGGGAAUCCGACUGUCUAAUUAAAACAAAGCAUUGUGAUGGCCCUAGCGGGUGUUGACACAAUGUGAUUUCUGCCCAGUGCUCUGAAUGUCAAAGUGAAGAAAUUCAAGUAAGCGCGGGUCAACGGCGGGAGUAACUAUGACUCUCUUAAGGUAGCCAAAUGCCUCGUCAUCUAAUUAGUGACGCGCAUGAAUGAAAAGCUGUAAAUCUUGCUACAUUGCGACCCUGGAUGUCAGCAAGGCGUUUGACUCACUAUCUCACGCAGCUAUAAUUAACACGUUGACAGCAUAUGGCCUACCGAAGGAUUUUAUCGACUAUGUACAGAAGACGUACGAGGUUGGUGGCACAACGCUCAAUGGGGACGGAUGGAGUUCGGAGGUUAUCAAACCUGCCCGUGGAGUGAGGCAGGGAGAUCCUCUCUCUCCGAUACUAUUUAACCUGGUAAUGGACAGGUUACUUAGGUGCUUACCCAAAGAGAUUGGUGUCAAGGUCGGAAAUGCCAUGACAAACGCGGCAGCAUUCGCAGACGAUAUAGUGCUAUUUGCGGAAACUCCGAUGGGCCUUCAAAAUUGUUGGACAAGACCGUGGAAUUCUUGGGAACGGUCGGACUCACCCUGAAUGCUGAUAAGUGUUUCACUAUCGGUAUAAAGGGGCAGCCUAAGCAGAAGUGUACUGUUGUGACGCAACACAGCUUUCGCAUAGGU